rnacentral:rRNA from 1 species
UGAAUUUCGGGGUCAAAGGUUGGGUCAUGCCUUGGUAUGUACUUGAAACUCGGUCUGACUCCUUCUAAAGAACCAUAAUGUCAUUCAUUUGAUGUUAUGGGGAAUUAGGACUGUUACCUUGAAAAAAUUAGAGUGUUUAAAGCAGGCUUACGCUUGAAUACAUUAGCAUGGAAUAAUGAAAUAGGACAUCAGAUUCUAUUUUGUUGGUUUCUAGGAUCGAUGUAAUGAUUAACAGGGAUAGUUGGGGGCAUUAGUAUUCAAUUGUCAGAGGUGAAAUUCUUGGAUUUAUUGAAGACUAACUACUGCGAAAGCAUUUGCCAAGGAUGUUUUCAUUAAUCAAGAACGAAAGUUAGGGGAUCGAAGACGAUCAGAUACC